GAUGAACGCUGGCGGCGUGCCUAAUACAUGCAAGUCGAGCGAACAGACGAGGAGCUUGCUCCUCUGACGUUAGCGGCGGACGGGUGAGUAACAUGUGGAUAACCUACCUAUAAGACUGGGAUAACUUCGGGAAACCGGAGCUAAUACCGGAUAAUAUAUUGAACCGCAUGGUUCAAUAGUAAAAGACGGCUUUGGUGUCACUUAUAGAUGGAUCCGCGCCGCAUUAGCUAGUUGGUAAGGUAACGGCUUACCAAGGCGACGAUGCGUAGCCGACCUGAGAGGGUGAUCGGCCACACUGGAGCUGAGACACGGUCCAGACUCCUACGGGAGGCAGCAGUAGGGAAUCUUCCGCAAUGGGCGGAAGCCUGACGGAGCAACGCCGCGUGAGUGAUGAAGGUCUUCGGAUCGUAAUACUCUGUUAUUAGGGAAGAACAAAUGUGUAAGUAACUAUGCACGUCUUGACGGUACCUAAUCAGAAAGCCACGGCUAACUACGUG
rnacentral:rRNA from 1 species